UCAAGGUUGUAGCAAUACAAUUCCAAUUGGGACAUCCGUGAGCUGAUCCCCUCAAGAAAGCGCAUAAGGUUAUCAGUAUGUUUUUUCAUGCUUUUCUCAAAAACAGCGAUGAUAUCUUGGUUGAAAGAAUCUUCUGGCUGGCCGUAAGAAGUGGCAGGGAACAUAGAUGACCUUGCUAUUCUACUUUUGUGAAAAUCCUUGCUGGA
rnacentral:misc_RNA from 1 species